CAGUAGCCGCGGUAAUACGUAGGGCGCGAGCGUUGUCCGGAAUUAUUGGGCGUAAAGAGCUCGUAGGCGGCUGGUCGCGUCUGUCGUGAAAUCCUCUGGCUUAACUGGGGGCUUGCGGUGGGUACGGGCCGGCUUGAGUGCGGUAGGGGAGGCUGGAACUCCUGGUGUAGCGGUGGAAUGCGCAGAUAUCAGGAAGAACACCGGUGGCGAAGGCGGGUCUCUGGGCCGUUACUGACGCUGAGGAGCGAAAGCGUGGGGAGCGAACAGGAUUAGAUACCCCAGUAGUCCCUGUCUCUUAUAC
rnacentral:rRNA from 1 species